AGCACAGCACUCAAGGUGCGGCCUAACUAGUGCCAAGUAAAGGGGAAGAAUCACUUCCCUGGUCCUGCUGGCCACACUAUUCCUGAUACAGGCCAGGAUGCCACUGGCCUUUUUGGCCACCUGGGCA